rnacentral:rRNA from 1 species
UACGUAGGCAGCGAGCGUUGUUCGGAGUUACUGGCGUAAAGGGUGUGUAGGCGGUUGUUUAAGUUUGGUGUGAAAUCCUCCCGGCUCAACUGGGAGGGUGCGCCGAAUACUGAAUGACUUGGAGUGCGGGAGAGGAAAGUGGAAUUCCUGGUGUAGCGGUGAAAUGCGUAGAUAUCAGGAGGAACACCAGUGGCGAAGGCGGUUGCCUGGGGCUUUGCUGACGCUGAUGCGCGAAAGCGUGGGGAGCGAUCCGG